CGGGCGUAUCAUGCGCUCAUGGCGCAGCUGUUUAUUCUAUGUUGUAAUGAGGGUGUGUGCUAAGUCAUUGUGUUCAGGGCUAUAUGUUGACCUAUAAUUGUUAACCUUUUACACAUUGUGACUUGGAUGGAUAGUUGUCUUAUCUGCACUUAUACCAUAUCUUCUUACUUCUAUAACACAUUUUCAAUGAAUAUGAUUAACUGAUAAAU
rnacentral:lncRNA from 1 species